rnacentral:rRNA from 1 species
UACGUAGGGGGCAAGCGUUGUCCGGAAUCAUUGGGCGUAAAGAGCGUGUAGGCGGCUUGGUAAGUCCGCUGUGAAAGUCCAGGGCUCAACCCUGGAAUGCCGGUGGAAACUGUCAAGCUUGAGUCCGGAAGAGGCGAGUGGAAUUCCUGGUGUAGCGGUGAAAUGCGUAGAGAUCGGGAGGAACAUCAGUGGCGAAGGCGGCCAUCUGGGACAACACUGACGCUGAGGCACGAAAGCGUGGGGAGCAAACAGG